AGUGAACGCUGGCGGUAGGCCUAACACAUGCAAGUCGAACGGCAGCACAGUAAGAGCUUGCUCUUACGGGUGGCGAGUGGCGGACGGGUGAGGAAUACAUCGGAAUCUACUUUUUCGUGGGGGAUAACGUAGGGAAACUUACGCUAAUACCGCAUACGACCUACGGGUGGAAGCAGGGGAUCUUCGGACCUUGCGCGAUUGAAUGAGCCGAUGUCGGAUUAGCUAGUUGGCGGGGUAAAGGCCCACCAAGGCGACGAUCCGUAGCUGGUCUGAGAGGAUGAUCAGCCACACUGGAACUGAGACACGGUCCAGACUCCUACGGGAGGCAGCAGUGGGGAAUAUUGGACAAUGGGCGCAAGCCUGAUCCAGCCAUACCGCGUGGGUGAAGAAGGCCUUCGGGUUGUAAAGCCCUUUUGUUGGGAAAGAAAAGCAGCAGGUUAAUACCCCGCCGUUCUGACGGUACCCAAAGAAUAAGCACCGGCUAACUUCGUG
rnacentral:rRNA from 1 species